UUGGACUCGACGCUGUCGCCCACAAAGCUCGCUGUGGACGCUGCCUGCUCGCUUGGAUUCUCUAUAGCUGCGACCGUGCUCUCCUGCGCCACGCCUUGCGCCCACUUCGCUUGCCAACUCGCGACCCGCCCUCAUACAUCCACCUGCCUUGUCUCGUCAGUCUCGCGGACGUGCUUCACCAACCCGCCCGCGCUGCGUGUUGAUCGCGCUUCGCCCCCUUCCUCCGCUCGUCCUCGUCG
rnacentral:misc_RNA from 1 species